rnacentral:lncRNA from 13 species
CUGAUGAUUUUAGUGCUUGCUACUUAUGACAUAAAAACAAGUGCUCUCCCUUUCCAGGGACAAGGGUGGAACCCGCCUGAGCUAGAGCUGAAGCUGAACAUGGUAGAGAUGCAUCAAUGGAAGCAGCAGAGCAAUUCUGUUCCUCAGAUCUGCUGAGACAUUCCACUGCACCACGCUGUGGCGGUCUGUGGGUGCAAAGCGCUGUUCAAGAAAUAAGCGCUGUGCCUUGGAAAUAUGAGUACUCAAGGAAGACCCUGGGUGGGAUCCAAGAGAAAGAAGAGAUACUUGGAGGCAGAAGAGAUCAGUUACAGACUUCAGGAGCCAUGGCCACCACCUAGAAGGACAGCAACUGCACAGGAAGCAUAGUGCUACUUCCCAGGAAUGCUACUAUGUCAAAGCAAAAGUGAGUGAUGCAGGUCACAACCUGAGGAGAAGCACUGGGCUUUUUGCUUUUAAAGUUCUUACAAAAUCUGACUUUUCAGACACCUCCUUUCAUGCCUUCAUGCAAUCUGACAUAUAGAAUCCUCCAGUAACUAGAAUUGUAAUCUCUUUUAAAUGUGCUUUUAUACUUUAAACCAAGACAAUGAGAAAAAGAGGAUAUUUAGGUUUCUGCUCAACUUAGCCUCACAUUCUUGUUUCUUCUUUGGAACUGGUUAUACUUUUGCCAGGUUACUUUAUCUGUCAUCUUCUCAACCACUUUAAAAUUUCAGUCAAAAUAGCUGAAAUCACUCAAAUUAUUCUGAGAUGAAAAAUAAGUCCUUUAAACAGAGGUACAAAAUCUUAGCUGCUGUAUAUUUCCAUAUAUCCAUAAUUUUAAUGCAUGAAAAACAUAAUGCAAAAUAUGGCUUUUCACAUGAUAUAUCCUCUUCUCCAUUUUGGUUUCAGUCUGUGACCGCUAUAUUUAAGGGCCUUUGUAUUUGGCUACCUUGGUAUUUGUAAUGGGAAAAGUUCUACAGCACCCCUGAAUUGUUUCUCAGUUUUGUCCUUGUGUGGUGUCAGUUCUUUGUUGUUAAACCAGAUUUACACAGAGACUGUGACAGUAACAGCAGCAGCCUGUAAUACGUCAAGUCUGUCUGAAAUGUCCUUCAGUUGCCUUUGUAAAUUUAGCGCAUCUGUAUAAAGCCCCUUGUGUAAAAUGUAUGUUCUGGUUUUGAUCAAAUCCUCCACAUGCUCACAGCAAAUUUCAAGACACUUCUGGCAGAGGUAUGCAAAUGCAGAGAUAGAUUCAAGGCAUUUUGAUACAUCUCUUUGUGUCAUUUUCCUGCUGCAGUAACUGCUUUGCAUUUCUCAUUUUUUUGUGGUAUAUUGAUGAUAAUGUUAACAUGGGAAAGGUUGUAACUUUCCUGGUUUCUACUUCUCAGGCUCUUUUUAUGUAGGAAUUACCAACUGGUCCUCUCAUAUUUGUGUUUUUGAAGGUUGUUCAACAUUCAGUUUUUAGGGUUAUAGCUGAACAUCUCCUUUUCUGGAAAAUUUGGGCCAGGGAUUUAAAAAAGCAGGCUCAAAAAUAUCUGUCUGUGCCUUUAAUUGCUUCCAUUUCCUAUUCUCCUAUUUCAAACUUCUGAGGAAAUGACAGAAGGAAACUAUCCAGGUUUUGACACUUUUUAAAAGAGAUAUAUGUCACUGUUUUCCAUAAAGCAUAGAAAUUUUGGACUACUAUCCACCAUCUGUUAAAUAGAACGACUCCCAGCAAAGUACUUUGCUGUCUGCUGGGUUGUCCACCCUCCUAAUAUCUGAUAGAUAUCUUACUUUGAGGGAACACACUUAGCACAUUGCUGAACGAGGAGCCACCUACAAGGAAGCUGUAAAUAAACAUAAAUAUACAGAACAAAACCCUUCUUCUUGUCUUCAAGAUUCACCUCUUGAAGCUGGAGUUAGACACAAAACACAUUUAUUUUUUAUAAAACUCAGCUGGGAAAUGUAACUGUGACAUUUCCUUCUUGUACUCUUCUGCUGAGGAGGUAAGAACAUUCCUCUUGCAUGUACCAGGGACUGGUUACACAUCUAUGACUCUGGAAGGUUCAGCUGACAAGCAGUGACUUCCAGCUGCGAAGACAGAGCUCCACUGCCAAGCAAAGGACAUCUUUGCACAUACCUUCCAUUUUUUUCUGUUAAAACUCCAUUUGUUAUAAUACAUUCACAGUAGCCUGGGGUCUCCUCUGGAGAGGUCUCACCUGUGUUUUAAGACCCUGUCUGAUAGUUAUACCUCCUAAACCCAUUAUGGUUACAAAAGGAAAUUGCAGGAAUAAGUACUUUUUGAAUUCCAUCAGGUUUGACAAGUCUUAGACACGACUCGUGGAAAACAGUGACAAAAGAGGAGGUGCGACAAACUCCCCCAUCCAUUGUCCUCAUGGAUAGAAAAGCUGCCUUAUGAUGAGCCAGGCACUUUUCUUCCCCAUGCUCUUCAGGCAGACAACUCAGUGCCCCCUUAUUGGUGAGUGCUUAAGAUUUUAUAGCUCUCUGCUAGCAGAAUAUCAAACACCAUGAAUUUCUGGUAUCUCCAGAGAAAGGCAACAGCUGAACAGGGAAUUUUUAAGUUUUGUGUUUGGGGGAGGAUAUACUAGGCCUGACAUGUAAGUAAACUAUCUAGAUCCAUUUCUUGAUCCAUUCUGAGCUUUUCACCUCUGCUUCAGUUUUAAGCAUACACGUACGAAACACACAUCCUCAUUCUUAGUAGGUAAUAUUAAGCAUGUACGUGUGGUAUUUCUCUAAUUACUGAUUACAGUAAUAAGUGUUGCAAUCAUGCAUAGAUCCAACACUGAAAACUAUCAAUAAAGCAACCUACCAUGUUUACACUACACUGGAGCCCUGUACAUUUGCUUAAGCCCCAAAAUCCCCAGAGCACUUAUGAUGCCAAGUGAGUCCAGCCAGAACAGGCACCAUUUGGUAAGUCGUUUUUCCCUCAGUGAACUACCAGGAAAUCCACCAGUGUCUUCUUGUUUUUAGGUUUUCAGGACAGCUAAGAUUUCCAUUCAUAGCCUGAAAUAAAAGCAUACUGUUUUAGUGUCAAAACCAUUACAAAUGUCUCAUUUGCU